rnacentral:rRNA from 1 species
UACGUAGGGUGCGAGCGUUAAUCGGAAUUACUGGGCGUAAAGUGUGCGCAGGCGGCCGCGCAAGUCGAGUGUGAAAGCCCCGGGCUUAACUUGGGAAUUGCGCUCGAAACUACGUGGCUGGAGUAUGGCAGAGGAAGGUGGAAUUCCACGUGUAGCGGUGAAAUGCGUAGAGAUGUGGAGGAACACCGAUGGCGAAGGCAGCCUUCUGGGCCGACACUGACACUGAGAGACGAAAGCUAGGGGAGCGAAUGGG